ACGAACGCUGGCGGCGUGCUUAACCCAUGCAAGUCGCACGGAAAGGCCCUGCUUUUGUGGGGUGCUCGAGUGGCGAACGGGUGAGUAACACGUGAGUAACCUGCCCUUGACUUUGGGAUAACUUCAGGAAACUGGGGCUAAUACCAGAUAGGAGCUCCUGCUGCAUGGUGGGGGUUGGAAAGUUUCGGCGGUUGGGGAUGGACUCGCGGCUUAUCAGCUUGUUGGUGGGGUAGUGGCUUACCAAGGCUUUGACGGGUAGCCGGCCUGAGAGGGUGACCGGCCACAUUGGGACUGAGAUACGGCCCAGACUCCUACGGGAGGCAGCAGUGGGGAAUAUUGCACAAUGGGCGGAAGCCUGAUGCAGCAACGCCGCGUGCGGGAUGACGGCCUUCGGGUUGUAAACCGCUUUCGCCUGUGACGAAGCGUGAGUGACGGUAAUGGGUAAAGAAGCACCGGCUAACUACGUG
rnacentral:rRNA from 1 species